rnacentral:rRNA from 1 species
GAUGAACGCUAGCGGCAGGCUAAUACAUGCAAGUCGAGGGGCAGCACAGGUAGCAAUACUGGGUGGCGACCGGCGCACGGGUGCGUAACACGUAUACAAUCUACCUUUAUCUGGAGGAUAGCCCGGAGAAAUUCGGAUUAAUACUCCAUAACAUAUUGAAACGGCAUCGUUUUAAUAUUAAAGCUCAGGCGGAUAAAGAUGAGUAUGCGGAUGAUUAGCUAGUUGGUGAGGUAAUGGCUCACCAAGGCUACGAUCAAUAGGGGUACUGAGAGGUUAAACCCCCACACUGGUACUGAGACACGGACCAGACUCCUACGGGAGGCAGCAGUAAGGAAUAUUGGACAAUGGUGGCAACACUGAUCCAGCCAUGCCGCGUGCAGGAUGAAGGCGCUACGCGUUGUAAACUGCUUUUGUACCAGAGAAAACCUAUCUACGUGUAGAUAGCUGAUAGUAUGGUAAGAAUAAGCAUCGGCUAACUUCGUGCCAGCAGCCGCGGUAAUACGAAGGAUGCAAGCGUUAUCCGGAUUUAUUGGGUUUAAAGGGUGCGUAGGCGGACUUAUAAGUCAGUGGUGAAAUCUCGAUGCUUAACAUCGAACGUGCCAUUGAUACUGUAG